UUAUUUUUAUGUGGUGCUAAGAAUCGAACUCAGUGUGUCAUGAGUACUCUACCACUGAGCCAAAGCCACAGCCACCCUUUUUACCUUUUAUUCCGAUACAGGGCCAUGCUGAGUUGCUGAGGCUACCUUGAACUUGCAAUCCUCCUGCCUCAGCCUCCUAAGCAGCUGGGAUUAUAGCUGACAUCACCAUGCCCUGCUACACUUCUGCCUUUGAUGUCCCACAGUUAUGCCCUUACUGGGAGUUGUUGAUAUUCUGAGUUGAUGGAGUUUCAGAUUGAGUGUAUAUGUUGGCAAAAGUUGGGGUGACCUGGUGACUGGGCUGAGUGGGCCCUAUAGGAAGAGUGGUACGCUUCUAAAAGUAACUGGGUAGUCCUUGACUAUCUUGUAGCAUCAAAAAUUGAAAUGUCAUUCCCAUUUUACUAAUCUCCUGAUAAAUUUUUUUUUCUGUGUGGAAAAGACAGGUCUAUACACUCCUCAGUAGCUAUUUAAGCUUAUUUUAACUCACAGGCUGUGGCUGAGGCAGGCAUUUCUUUUAAGACCUGGAUGUACCAUACUGUGUCUUAGAGUUUUAUAUGCCUCAUUUUCUGGUGUGGUUCUCAUUUUGCCAGUAUCUCCCACCGUCUCCUCCAGCAAAAUCUGUCAUAGCUAGAUGGCUUUCCACUCUACCGUUUAGUUAGAUGGCCUACAGUAGAGAGGUGGAUUCAGAAAAGAAACAUAGAUGCUGUCAACUCAACACUGGGGUCCUACCUAGGGAAAUAUUACAUGAAGGCUUUUGGUGUGAUGUGUAACACGUUUGUAGAAAAAGUAGAGUUCUGUAUCCCAAGCCAUAUUCACUUGAUGAUACUAUUCAUUGACACCUGUUGCUCUUGUCAUUGCUUAGAUUUUCCCCUUUAGUUUGAAUAGUUCAGUGAACUAAAUAACAAGAGCCAAGCUCUGGAUUUGAAUGUUAUAGAACCAAAGCCUCCAAACAUUAUUGUUUUUGUUUGUACAACUGAGGAAUAGUCCCAUUGAGAAAAGUAAAUAUGAUUUAUUAAGGUCUUAGGGUUUACUGUAGGGCUUCUUGGGCAAAUUUACUAAUGUUUCUUCCACUUAUUCUUGACUGCAUUUGAAAAUAGCUACCCCUUCCUUCCAGCAACUUGUUACCUCCUUUAUUCUGUUUCCCCACCUCUCCCUUUUUAUUCUUGCCCCAUCUUCUAAAGUAUUUCCCCUGAUAAGUGCACCCCACCCUACUCAUAGUUUCAAAUAUUUCAUCUACACUGAUGCCUCAACAUUUUUAACUUUUCACCCAGGUUUCUCAACUGACUCUAGGUCAAUCCCCCUGGCUAUCUGUCCUACCAUCAGCUCACAGUUAGACAUCCUAUGUCUGUAAUAUUACCAUCUCUUCUACAUCCCCAACUUUUAGUCACUCAGGAUUAAAAGCAAAGUCAUUAUUUAGCUUUGAUUCUUUCCUUGCAUCUUCUUCUAAGGACCAUCUCUCUUCCCUGUGAAAUGUCUCCUACACUCAUUCAACUCAAUUUCUACUGCCAUUACUUUAAUCCAGGUCCUCAUGUUUUAAUGCUUUGGCCACUCUAUCAACCUUCUAACAGAUCUCCCAAGUAUUCCCCAAACUCCUACUCUCCACUCACACCAACUGACACCAACUGCUCACUUUCCACAAAAGCUGGUUCCAUCAUAUCACCCUCCUCACAAAUCUUCAAAGACUCCCCUUGCCAAUAGGGUCAAGUCUAAAUUGCUCAGCUUGGCAUUCAGAGCUUUGGAACUGCUCCAUGUGUUUGUAUAAACUUAUUCCCAUCAUUUAUGUACCUACACUUUAGACAGACCUGUCUUUUCUACCUGUGAGUGUGCCUCCCCACUCUUGAUGACAGCCCUUAGAACAAAGGAAAAAGAGAUCUAGAGCCAGGAGUUGAAGGCCUGGGUUAGGAAAGGAAGUGAACUCACAGCAUCCCAUUAAGGCUGUGACUUGAGGGGGAAGCUGUGACAGAAGGUGCUCUAAAAGUGCCAUUAUAAUGAUGAGAAGUUGCAGAAGGAAUGGGGGAGGGAGCUGGAGUAUGAACUUUAUUGGUUGAUUAGCCUGAAUUAGACAAACAGGGUUUCAUUUAAAUUGGCCUGAAGUUUCUUGGAGGCACUGCUAUUUAAUCCCAUCUCUCUUUGAAUUUCUGUCUCCUAGGAAGACAGGCCACAGAAGUAGGCAGCUGACUAUAGGAUUCUAGGGAAUAUCCAGCAUUUAAUACAGAUUUGGCACUGAAAAGUUAGGGCUCCUUUCUGUAUCUAUCUUUUUUUUCUUUCCUCCCUCCCUGCCUCCCUUCCUUCUUUAGAAUUCAGGGGCAUUUAACCACUGAACCACAUCCCCUUCCUGUAUUCUUUCUUAAAUUAGAAUGCUGGUGAUGUACAGAGGAAAAUUUCCAUUUUUCUUGAAAUCUCACACAGAUGCAUAGACAUCAAAAACUCCACUUCAUAGUGAUGCUUUUGAGCUGUAUGUUAGAGGCAGAUUUAGACCAUUGCUGGGUACUUUUAAUAAGUGGCCAUAGUAACCCUUUCAGGUAGAUCACACCAUCCACUGCCAUGUCAUAUGGCAAGCUGUCUUGCUUUGGCAGCUCUGUAGAGAGUGCUAGACUGGAAGGCAGUACAAUUAUACACAUGACCUCAGGCAAGUCACUUAACCUUUUAUGGUGUCAGUUUCCUCAUCUGUUAAAUGAAAGGAUUAGACUGGAUUAUUUCGAUUAUUUCCUUUUUUCCAGUACAGGACCUUUCCAGUGGUCCUGUACUGGAAAAAAGUAUAGGAGAGAUUGUAUAACUGAAAGGCAGGAAGUGGAAUAAUUGAGGAUUAGAAUUCAGGGUAAUUUCAAAAUUACUUUAAACUUCAAAAAACAGUUCCUAGAUGUGCUUAAUGUGCAUAUCACACACUUAGCAGUUAAAUGUGUAAUUGUCACCCUGUCUUAACAAUGUUGUUUCCACUAACAAAUGUUAGGUACAGAGUCCUACUGAUGAUUACUUUGAAGUAAUGGACAGAGUGACUAAUUUUGUUUUUCUGUUGAGAUUUUCAGAAAUUAACGUAUUCCUUUUGUCAUGUAAUAAACAGCUCAUAAAAUGUUUUGAGACUUUAAAAAAAUAAUUAGUUGGGCUGGAGCUGGGGCUGUGGCUCAGCAAUAAUGCACUUGCCUGGCAUGUAUGAGGCACUAGGUUCAAUUCUCAGCACCACAUAUAAAUAAAUGAAGUAAACAUCUUCAACAACUAAAAAAAAUUAGUCUAGGGGAAAGAGAUACUGUCUAAUCUUUAGAAAUUCCAUAAGUGGUCAUUCUGCUACUUCUUAUUUUCAACUCUUUUUUCAGUGUUUAGUUGGCUUUCUUCUCCCUAUGCUUUUUUUUUUCUCCAAGCCCACCUUUGUUAAUUUUUAUUUUGCCAUGUCAUAUGGCAAGCUGUCCUACUUUGGCAGCUCUGUAGAGAGUGCUAGACUGGAAGGUAUAAAAAGAAAAAAAAGUAUAAAGACUUUUAUUAAAAGUCUCAUAUUAGAAGGCAAAUAUUAAGCAAAUGUGCAUAUAAUCUGCACAGUACCAUUUUUUUCCUGAUAGUAGCUACAACUGAAACAGUCUGGUGUGGAAAAUGAACCCCCUCCUCACACACACAGUGAUUAAACCAGGAUCUCAAACAUGCUGGGCAAACACUCUACCACUGAGCUACAUCCCCCACCCCAGGGUAAAGGAAACUUAACAAUUAUAUCCUACCAAGCUUUGUAUUCUAUGACAUUUCUGCUGCAACAGCACUGCAAUUGACUCUUGCACAGAGGAGAAAAGUUUCUAAAACCUAUUGGUUUCUACAUGUUAACAUCCACUACUGAAAAUCAAAUUUCUUUUCAUCUUACCAUAUUUUCCAGUGAACUUUUUUUUUUUUUGCUGGACUGGGAAUGGAACCCAAGGCCUUGCAUUUAUUAGACAAGUGCUCUACCACUGAGCUGCACCCCCAGUCCUCCAGUAAACUCUGGAGAGUUGUGCUGCUUCCUACUUUUAUUCAAAUUCCUAGGGUAGGAAUUGGAAAACUUCACAAAAGUAUUUUGAAAAUUUGCUAUAUUAAUCUUUAUGAUCAUUCAGCCACUGAAAACAUUCAUAGGUAUUAUAUAGACAAUGUGUGAUGAUGAACUGUGUCCAUGGAAUCAAAAUGUGCAUCAUUUCUUUGCCAGGUUCACUUAAAAUAUGUGUUCCUAUGAGCCUUUUUAAAAAAUCUUUUUGUAGUUGUGUAUGGACAGAAUGCCUUUAUUUUAUUUGUUUAUUUUUCCAUGGUGCUGAGGAUUGGACCCACUGCCUCACACAUGCUAGGCAAGCACUCUGUCACUGAGCUAGAGCCCCACCCCCCUUAUGAGUCUUUAAUCAUUUGCUGAAAAACAAUUCCUAGGUCCUAGACUGUCAAACAAGUUUCUGUUAUAUAUUAGAUAACUUCUUAAGAAUUUUUUUAAGUAGAAGACUCAAGUAAGGUAGACUUCUUUUAUGUAAUCUUGAUUGAUAAUAUUUCCUGAAGCACGUGAACAGAAAUUGGUAGAUUGAACCCCAGAAUGAUAGCAUUUAGAGCUCACUGGGAGAAAACUCAUUUAAUCAAGUAAAAUGGACUUUGCACGUUUUAGCAAGAUCCAGACACCAAGAAGGGCCCAUGGGGAGUGACUUUGACAAAAGGGAAUCCAAGAGAACUGGAUAGUUUUAAAACAAGAAUUUUAUAAGAAGAAACUAUACUAGUACAUAUAAAUUAAAGAAUAGUGACAUGCCUUCUGUGCCUAAAAAUGUUAUCAGUACAUUGAGAUACUUGAUCAGUACUUGAGUCAAGUAAGAAAACUACAAAAAAUGGAAAAUCCAAUCAGGCCAAAUUACUAGAGUAUUAAGGGGAAAAACUAUGUCAGACAGGGUCAGAAAAUAUAAAAAGGGAGUUUGAAAAGGAGGUGCAAAAAGAAAGAUAAGUCUAUUCUUGUAAUGGUAAAGCUUCUUCCUAACAUGUUCUUCAUGAUUUUAAUAACCUCCUUUAAAGGUGUAAGCAUAUUUUGAAAAGAUUUUUUAACUUUUUAAGGUGAUUCAGCUCUCAGUGUUCUAUUAAGAGGGCAGGUAAACCUUGUCUUGUAUCUAUCACAAUUGGAAUCCAUUUUAAUUGCAAGAAGAAAAUCCUUGCCAUAGAAAAGUUUUUUUAUAAUAAAGAAAUUUAUACUUUUAUGGAAGGCCAUAUUUCAAUGUUAAAACUCUUAAAGUAUUAUUUUUUAUAAUGUCAAAGGUAUGAUUAGUAGAACAUUAAUGCAAUUAUACAUCUGAAGUAAUCUGCAUUGCUAAAUUUAUUGUGAGUAUUACUGAAUGAUUCUAUAUGUCACAGAGUGCAUUUUAAAAUCAUUGAUCCUUCAAUUUCUACAUGGAAUCAAUUAUUUGAAGUUCAAAAUAAAAACACAACAAAAGUAAAGAAAGUUUCACCUCUUGAUCUUUUCUAAGCUUCUCUGAAAUGCACAUGUCUUUUGUGUAAGUAUGACAAUGUUUAAAAAGUUGUUUGUUAUCUUAAUGCCAUAGAAAAGUUUUAACUUGCAUAAAUGUUCAGUAGAAGGCUAAGGGCAAAGAUAAAGAGAAAAGUCAUGUGUCUCCUUGGGAGCCAGUUGAUUGGAAAAGCAGGACUUCUUAUUUUUCACUUCAUUCCAUUUUACUAGUCAGUUUAACAACACAGGAACAGUUUGUAAUGACAAAGAUGUUAGAAUGUUAAAUUGAAGAAGAAAGGUAAGAUACACUGUUAAAAUUGAUUUUUUCCAGUUGUCUUUGUUGUUGCAGAGCAAGUUUCCCCAAACUUAUAGAGAGAAAAUGAAAAAAGGAAAAUAGUUUAUCUUUCACCAAGAUAAUUAAUGGCCCAGCUAAAUUUAGACUCUCCAGCUUUAACUUGUGACAUCUGGAAAAACAAUCCAGUCUGUUAUUCCUCUAGUUUAUAACCAUCUAGUAAGAAGCCCAAAGUCCAGAAUAGCUCUCAAGGUGACCUUAUGAAGGGCAAAUAUUAUCAGGCUGAUUUUAUCUCCCUUAAUAAAAGAGGUCUGUUGAGAAGGGAAAGUUACAUAUAUUACCUGUGCAUGUCAGUGACACCUGUUAUUCCUUUAUCACAAAGGGCUUUCUGACAAGCUGGGAAGACUUGGGCUGGAUUGUCCCACUCUUCAGGGGAACAUCCAAAUAGGCUGAGGGGCAAGUGUGCCUCAAGUGGUCUGUGUAGUGGCUCAGCAUCAAGUUGGGGGCACAGCAAGUGGUGCCUUCCAGGGAGUUCUCUCCCUGUUGUAAUGUACAAGGAUACCAUUUUUGUAAAGAUCCACUUCCAGUCCCUUUAAAUAGCUACUACCCCAGAGAAUCUUAGCUAUUCAGUUAUUUUUUUUUAAUUUACAUUUUUGUAAGGAGGACUUUAAGUACAUUUUGUAAGGAGGACUUCUUGUGUGCAAAGUUAGGUGAAGCUGGCCUAAAUUUCUUUUAUCACUGGCCUAAAUUUCUUUUAUCAGUUAACUUGGAAGAGAAAUUAAUCAUAUGUUUAUCAAACUUUUGCAUUAUACUCAAGCAAUGUCAGCAGUAUUUUGUACCCCCCCCCCAUUUCAAAUGACCUUUGGAGCAAGAGUGACAAUUUUCAGAAAGGGCUCUAACACCCCUCCUACAUCUUCUUCAAGGACAGUUGAUCUGCUUUUAUCUCUUUUACUUGCUUAUUGUUCCUGGCAAGAUUUUGAUGAAGGAAAGAGUUCCUCAUUUUUAAAAAGUAAAAAUAAAUAAAAAUCAAUGAAUCUGAGAAAUAGUCUGGCCAAAAUGGGAUGAAGUUCAAGAAGUCUUGUUUCGAAAAGUAGAAAUAUUGCAAAAAAAUUCAUCCCACCUUUGUAUACAUAUGAGAGUUCAGCUACCUAAUAGAUGAUGAUGGGAAGAUUCUUUACCAGUAUUCCAGCUAGUAAAUGUAAAAAUAUUUAUAGAAUUAGAACAUAACACUCUUACAACCCUUAAUGAAAUACCAAUGUACAUGAUCACCUUCAUUGAAUGCAGAUAUUUGACAUAAUAAGGCAUAUGGAAAAUUUUAUAAUCAAUUGAUCAGUCUCCAUAACACUUGAACCUAGUGAUCAGUCAAAAUGUCCCAAGAGGAAACAAAAUUGGACAUAUAAGCUUCCUGGUAAGACUACAGGAAUGAACAACACUUCAUUUCAGGUACUUUUACCAAAAAAAAAAAAAAAUCUGUAUUUAGCAUAGCCAAUUAAUCUAAUGGAGACUUAUCAGGGGAGAAGGGGUGUCUAAAGGAACAUGAUACUAAGAUACAAUCAGCAAAAUCCACAAUGCAGAACACACACGCAAAAGGUCCAUAUUCUUAAGCAAAUAACAUCAGAAGGAAUGAUGGCUAAUUUUGUGUGUCAACUUCACGGGGCCACGGCGUGCCCAGACAUUUGGUCGAUUGUUGUUUUGGAUUUUUCUGUAAGAUGUUUCUAGAUGAUAGUAAAUUUGAAUUCGUGAGUUGAAGAAAGCAGUUUGCCCUUCCAGAUGUGGAUAGGCAUAUCUAGUCAAUUAAAUACCUGAAUAGAACAAAAAGGCUGAAUGAGAGGGAACUUUCUGACUGACAGCAUGUGUCAAGAUAUCAGUCUUUCCUGCCUUCAAUCCUGAAUGAAAAAUUGGCAUUUGGAUUAGAAUUUAUCUCACUGAUUCUCCUGAAUCUGCAGCCUUUAGAGUUGAACUCUUCAGUCUCCUAACCCAUAGAAUUUCUUUUGCUUAUACCUUGCUGACUGCAGAUUAUGGGAUUUCUAAGCUUUCAUAAUCACGUGAGCCAUUCUUCAUAUCAUACUCAAACUUCAGAAAAUCAAAGAUGAAAAGGAUUUCAACAUCACCAGAGGGAAAACCCAUUACCUAUAGAGAAGCAAAAAUCCGAAGUACACUUGAAUUCUUCUCAUGAAAAAAGAAGGGAAUGGAGUAAAAUAUUUAAAGGAUUGAAUAAAAAUGCCAUCAAUCUAAAAUUCUAUAUCCUAUGAGACUAUCCUUGUGAAGGAAAAAGGAAAAGAAGAUUUUUCUUGGAAAAACAAAAGUUGAGGGAAUACAUUGCUAGAAAACCUGCCUUGGAUGAGAUAUGAAGAGAAGUUCAUAACUGUGUGUGGGGGUGCAAGCCUGGAAUCCCAGCAGCUCGGGAGGCUCAGACAGGAGCAUCACGAAUUCAAAGACAGUCUCAGCAAACAUGAGGCGCUAAGCAACUCAGUGAGACCCUGUCUCUAAAUAAAAUACAAAAUAGGGCUGGGGAUGUGGCUCAGUGGUCGAAUGCCAGUGAGCUUAAUCCAUGGUACUCUCCCCCAAAAGAAGCUAUUUAGAAACAAGGAAAGUUAUCUUGGCCAGAAACUGAGAUCCCUAUAAAGAAAAGAAAAUUAGAAAAAGAAUAUGUGAAGGUAAAAUAGUUUCUGUUCUUAUUUUUAAUGAUAUAACAGAUAAUAGUGGGUUCAAAAUAAUAAUAGCAAUAGUGUUUUUGAUUAUGUAUGUGUGUACAUGUACCUAUGAUUGUGUAUGCCUUUUUAUUUAAAUUAAACGUUUAUUUUAUUUAUUUAGUUUUAUGUGGUGCUGAAGAUGGAACCCACUGCCUCAUGCAUACUAGACAUGUACUCUACCGCUGAGCCACAACACCAGCCCUUGUGCAUGUUUAUGUAUAAGUAAAAUUAAUGAUAGCAAUAAUACCUGGGAUGUGAGAGAGGAAUUAGGAUUAUUCUGUUAAUACAAGGUUAAUUUCACUACCCCUGAUUCAGUAUGGAAUUAUCUGAAAGUAUGAUUAAUAAUUGUAUCUUGCAAUCUGUAGUGUAAACACUAAAAAAACAACAAAAAUUAUAAUUGAUACAUAAGAAAGAACAAACAUGUUAGCAUAUAAAUACUCAAACCCAUAAAUAACAAAAAAAGCUCAUGAGACAGAAAUGGGAAUGAAGAAUAAGGGCAACAAAUAGAGAACCAGUAAAAAAAAAAUAGGUUUUAAUGCAAACAUAUUAUCACUUUGAAUGUCAAUGGCCUAAAUACACCAAGUAAAAGAUAGAUUAUCAGAAGGGAUAAAAAAAUCCAAACACCAAGAAUAUUCUGUCUAUAAGAAACUCUAUUAAAUAUAAAAAUGCUUAAUAUUAGAAUGAUGUGACUUUAUACCCCUUUUUAAUUUUAAUAUUAGUCGAAUGAACAAUGGAAAAGAUAGAUGAAUUUCAAGCGGGGCUGACUCAACUACAAGGAAAGUAAACAUGGAUAAAGAUGUGAAUUAAAGAAUAUACGAGGCCAGUCAUUCAAGCAGACAUUACAAUCCUCAAUGUGGAUAUGUCAAAACAGUGAGGCUACAAUUGAAAGGACUGCAGGAGAAAUAGAUGUUCCACUAUUAUAUAUUAUAGUUGGAGACUUCAAUACCCCUUUACAAGAAAUGGAAAGUUCUGGAACAGCAGGCAGUAAAUUACUGAGGACAUAGUUAAAUAACAGUACCAUCAAUCAAGUGAAUAUAACUGACACCUACAUACUACUUUAUCCAAUGAUAGAUGAAUACACAUUUUCAAGCUCACAUGGAAUAGUCAUUGAAAAAAGACCACACUCUUUGCCAUAAAACAUUUCUUAACACAUUUGGAUAGUGGCAAUUAUUGUACAACACUGUUUAUAUUCUAAACCCCACAUAAUUGCAUAAUUUAAAAGGGUGAAUUUUAUGUUAUGUAAAUUUUAUCUCUAUUUUUUUUAAAAAGUGAAAAAAGAAGGAAGUAGAUAUGUUAGGCAGCCAGGCUGUGAAACCUCUGAGCAGAAUUCCCCUCACUGUGGCUCUUCCCUAGGAUGAGAAUGAAAACAAAGCCAAAGAAGAGUGGGAAAGUCAUGUAACUUUGGGAAGGCUGUACGCUGAAAAGAGUUAUUCGUGAUUAGAAAAUGAUGUCCACAGGAACAAAAAGGAUGGAAGUGUUGAAGGUCUCCUGAGCACGCUGCCCUUCAGAUCUGGAGAAGACAUUUCAGCAGCCCUCAUGACCCACAUCCGGAGAAACUGUCUUCUUCAGACUCUUGAUAGGAGCUCAGUCACCAGAGGAAGAGCUGUGCACUGGGACAGAAUCCAGAAAUUACUAUGCAUUUUUGGAGUAACCAUAUCCUUGGAAACAUGCUAGGCAAUGAAAUGAGCAUUCGUGAGCCCACGAUAUCCACAGAGCAAUGGGGCUUAACAUGUGUGUUAUCCCUGAAGGUCCCCGCAGUCCUGUGGCUGAGCACUCUUGCUCUCAUUUUACAGAGGAGAGACUGGGUUACAGAGGGCCGUUCCCUUUCUUACCAUCCAGCACCCCACCUUUACAAGGGACACCCUGGAGCAGGUCAUCACGCUGUCUGGGGCCAGGAGGGCCCCACGUCUUUCUCCCUUUCAUGUCAGCUCGGCAACGAGGCCCAGAGCAGGAAUGAGGCAACUUAGGUCUGUGAUCCCUUUGUGUCCCCACACUCCACGGAGGCUCAGUUCCUACCAAGAGGCACCCACACGCUCCACUGAGUCCAGAUACCUAGAGGCAGGACACUUCUCCCAAACCACAGCAAGUUGGUCUCCUUCAGAAUGUCAUCAUAGUCACCAUAAGGACAUCAGAUUUCUAUGGCAAUCAUGAUGCUCAGUUUGGUGCGCCUUACCAGAAAUGCCUCUUUCUAACAUAUAUAUAAUUUAUUUAUCUUAAUGUGGUGCUGAGGAAGGAACCCAGUGCUCACAUGUGAUAGGGGAGCACUCUAUCACUGAGCCCCAGCACCAGCCCCCAGAAAUACUGCUAAACAGGCCUCCUCUUUAUACCCCUCACCUUUCUCUGAAAGCAAAACUCCUUCUUCGUUCUUCAGGCCACCACUUGAGAAAGUGCACUAAUUAGAGGAGUUAGGCUCAGACACAAGUAAUGGAGAGAACUCUGCACACACCCUCAGAUGAGUCCAAACUCCUGAAGUAGGUCUAGGACACCCUGGCCCAGGGCACCACACUCCCUGAUUCCACAUCUCCCUCCCUUACCUGGCAGCUGAGCACUGAGUCCCAAAGCCAGAAGAAGGCACUAGUACAACUGGGUAGUGUUCAAAACAACAGAAGGUACAAUGGGCUUCUCACCAGGGCCUUUUCCUUCUCUUCUACUCAUCUCUCUUCCUCGAACAACAAAUCUGAAAAGGAGUAAGAAGUAGCUAAAUUCAUACAGGUAUUUAUGAUCCCACAAUAACCACAAAGAACACAUCAUGCUUCCUGGGACCAAGAGGAUCCCACAUCUCUUUCCCUCUCCAAUCAGUUGGGUCUUGUCUCCCAGCACAGGAACUAAGCUACAUGCAUCUGGGGUUCCUUUGUCUCCCCACACCCUAGGGAGGUUCAAACCCCACCAUGAGGCACCCACACACUUUGCUGAGUCCAAACACCUGGAGGUGGUACCGUGCUCUUGAACAAGUUGGUAGCCUUUAGCAUGUCCUCAUAGUCGACAUGAUGUUGUCAGGUUACUAUGGCAACCGUGAUACACAGGCUACUUCUAUACUCAGGAUAUGUUUUGCAUAGUCCUAUCUUCUGGACCUUCUUUCUCCUUUAAAGCAAAAUAACUUCAGGCCACCUGAGAAAGCCUACUAGUUAGGUAGAGUAUGUGGGGAUGCACGCAAUAGGGAGUGCUCUGCCCAGCUUGUUGGAAAAAAAAAAAAAACUGUGUGUUACUGGAAUUUUAUUGGCUUUAAAUGAAUUCACAAUCCUGGAGGGUUGGUGGAUAACUGUGAUCUCAGCUACUAUGAAGGCUGAGUAAGGAGAAUCCAAAAUUCAAAGGCAGCCUCAGCACCUUAGCCAGGCCUUAAGCAACGGAGUGAGAUACUGUCUCAAAAUUAAAAAUAAUGAUAAUAACAUUGUGUCCAAGUGAGAACUCAAUAACCUCCCUUUGAAGACAUUGAUGGUGCAGAUGAAAUACCAGUUUAGACUUCUGUAGGUGGUAAUGGGACUAGUAUGUGUGUCAAGGGUUUAUGAUUCCUGCCUCCUAUUUAUCUUCACUCUUCUUUCAUUUGGGGAUUAGUGGGAAACUAUUUCCCUAACAUCAAAUUAGAAUAUCAAAUAAGUGGACAGAAAAUGAUACGGAAUAAAUUAAAUGGUUUAAUCCUCUUUCUGGUUCUCAGGAAGGCCCUCCUGCAAUACUGAGAUGGCCCCAAGCUUGAUUCAUGAUGUAAAUGUGAAUAUUUGAUGCUGCUUUCUGCUAAAUUUCCCAGUAGUCUCCAGGGCAGGUGUGCUCUUUGGUUUGGAUAACUGUAGUCACUUCUCUGGGAGAGGAGAAAUUUAAGGCAGGACAAACAUUGGCUGAAAUCUAACUUCAUACCAUGUACUCUAAAGAGGAUUUCUCACUGACACAUUUUGUAAGGAGGGCAUAGUGAGUCCCCUUUCACAAAUGAUCAAGUUUAGACCAAUAAUGGCUAAGGAAGAAUUCCAGUGCCACACAUCAAGUAGCAGGAAUGGGAUCACACAGUUACUCUCAUUGAAAUGUCACAUGCAUUCUCAACAGGAUGAUACUACACACAAGAGGCUUCAAACAGGUUCUCAGGGGUAGGGGGAUGCUACAUAUUAUAAUGUUUUGCGACACUACAAAGAACCAGAACACAGAGUUAACAGUCCAUCUAUGAUAUAAACAUUUCAUAUUCUGGGCAGUGUUGAGAGCCACAGCCGAAGGGGGUUUUUCCUGAAGAGCUGUGUGGUGUGGUGUGUGUGUUCUAAAAAUAAAGUUCGUUUCUUUUGACAAGUGGCUUCUGAAUUGUGCCCAGCCAGACUGCGGCAGGGCAGAAUGUUUACAAAGAUGAAAAUGUCUAAAUGGGGAGAUAAUAAAAUGAUGAAAAGUGUUAUAUCCCCAAAGACUUCACAUUGAUGAUGGGCCACUAGGGCUUAAUGAUAUUGGACAGAGAGUAAAUCGAAAUAACAGGUGUUUCCUCUAAACAGAUGAUCUGGAAGAUAAGAUUUAAAUUUUUAAAACUAAUAUAACAAAAUGAUACCCUAAAUAUUAUCUCCUCCAACCUGAAUCUUUAUUUAAGUAAUUUGUUAUUAAAUCUAUACUUCAGAUUUGAAAAAAAAAAAAAAAGUGACGCAGGACUGAUCACACACUUACCUGGGAAUGAAAGUGGGUUUAUUGUCAGGAGCCUUACAGAGCUGCUCUGUACAAAGAGAGGGACAGCAGCAGUAAGCGAGGGACAGCAGUAGCAACUCCCCCUUGAAUGUUACCUUUUGUAGGCUAGAAUCAUGGUCGCGCACCAGGGGCAGGUUUAGUGUUGACGGAUAUAGUAAGCAUCCCCUGAUCUUGUGGAAGGCAAGUUUGUUUCUUGGGAACAGAGACAGGCAGUUUUCCUAUCUCUCAGAGGGGGAACAGGGAAACCAGAAUGUCCCCAUCUCAGGGGCCAGUAAGUUGUCUCCUAUCCCUCAAUGAGAGAACAGGGAGAGACAGCAUGUCUCCAGGCGGAUAGGUUUUAUCUCGGGCUACUUUCGAUAUCUUGGGAAUGAGAACAGUAUUCAUAAAGUGGAUGUGGGAGAAAGGAAGAUGGCUGUAAUUAUGGUAACAAGAUUGGGUUGUGGGAAGUUGGGAAAGCUCAAUUCAAUCAUUAAAACUGUGUUGUUGAUGCCUGCUCAGUAGUGGAGCCUGGAAUCUCACUAAAGCUUUGUGUCCCGAUGCUGCCAAGAAUCUGAGUGCUCUGAUCUCCCUGGAAAAGCACAUUCCAGGAUGCAUCACAAAAAUCAGGAUGCUGGCCUUUCCUUCAAGUGAAAUGACACAACCCAUAAAAUAAGAGUGCAUAAAUCCAAAGUGAUAAAAACAAAUAUCUGAGUUAAUAAAGAAAUGGGAAAUAAGAGACAAACUAGCUUCAUCCAAUAAUGCCAGAUAACAUAUGCAGCUACCUGCCCUCCAUAUUAAUUCUCAUCCCAACUCCUGAGGGGAGAACUGACUUAGUGACUCACUUGUGAAGACAACAGUAAGCAGAUAGAACACAGUCACUGUCCACUUGAGAACCUUGGCAAACAUCACCUUAACCAAGUGAUGAAGGUUAGCAUCACCAGCGAUUUUAUGUGAAUAUCCUGUCCUCCCAGAGAGAAUGUGAUGAGGAGGCACUUCACAUCUCUGAUAUUUCCCCUUAAAACCCAUGGUCUAAACAGGAGGAAAACAACAGACUAAGUUGGUGAUCCUCAAGGCUGCCAAGGUCAUGAAAACCCUCUGGCAGUGGUUCUCACCAUUAAACAGGGAGUUUUCAUGUGUCAUCAAUUGCACUCCUAGGCAAACAACCAAAAUAAAUGAAAACCCAUGUCUACAUAUAAACUGACACAGGAACGUAUGUAGCAUCAUCAUCUUUCAUAACAGCCAAAAAGUGGAAAUAACCCACGUGUUUUCCUCUUCAUAAAUGGACAAAUAAAAUGGAGUACUAUAUUUUUCAUCAAUUAAAGGAAUGGAAUACUAAUAUGUUAUAAUAGGGAUGAACCGUGAAAACAGGUGAAGAAGCAAGAAGCAAAAGACCAAGCAUUGUGUGGUUCCAUUUGUAUAAAAUGUAUGGAAUAUGCAAAUCUGGAGACACAGACAUGCAUUUCUUGGGGCUGAGGUUAGGAUCAGGGUUUAACUGUGUUGAGAAUGAUGCCACAUUAUAGGGUGAUGGAAAUAUCUAACACUCUGUUCCUCAACUUUAUACCAAAAACCAUCAAGCUGUACCUUUAGAAGGAGUACAUGGAUAAUUAUAUUGUUUUUAAAUUAUACUGCAAGAAAUCUGUUAAAAAUACAAUAUUGGUGUGAGCUUCUGUUGUAUUGCAAAACACUCAAACUUUGUUCUUACCAUGUUUUGAUGCACAUGUAUUUGAUAAACAUGAAUAUAAAUAAAACUGCGGCUGUAUCCUA